GUACACAGGCAGAAUAAGUUUCCUCACGCGAUACUUAGCGAGGGGCAUUUCUAAUUAUCUCCGAUACGUGAUCAUCAUAACUCAUGUGUUUCUUGCGGCUGAAUUGUGUUAUGCUUCUUCGGCCAAGUUCGACUUCAUGAUUUUUCCAUUCUUCCGGGAAAUAUCGUUCAAAGGCUCGAAAUCUUCCUUAUCAGACUGCGGAUACUUGAGAUCGGGAUAGUUCCAUGCCUGAAUAUCUGCAGUUCCGAAAACCUGAUAGACGACAUAAGUGCCACAGGCAACACACGCGCUCACGCCGAAAACUUGCCUCCAGGCAUCGAGGGCUUGCUGUGGAAAGAAUUAUUUUGUAACCCUUUGCUGUAUAAAUAUAAAUUUCUACAAAAUGUAUAUGCCAUACCCAAAGCAAUUUUUAAACCACCAAUAAAAGACAAGGUAUCACAAGUAAAUUCUAUCGAAUAUAUGAAUGCUACCAAAAAUAAAUAAAAUAAUUACUCACGCUUUUCUGAGUAAGUAGUCCAGCUACAAUAGGAGAUAGGAAACUAGCUGACAUGUGAAUUGUCUGCGCAAAUGCUAAUAUCGGACCUACAAAGAUAUAAUGGAACAUGAUACAAAAAUUUCAGAGAAGAUACUUAAAAGAUAUAUAAAUUGUGUUUACUUGCCAGCAAAGUUUGGCGCGAUAUCAACGAUGCUUGCCAUCGCUCCUGCGUAGGCAGCAGUGAUAAGGCUGACAGCUAUGAACCAUACCACUAAAACGAGAAUGAUAUCACAACCCAGAUAACCGAUCAAUACCAAUAAUAUUCCAGGAACCACUUGAGCUAAAAACGAAAAAUAUUUUAUUACUCGACAUCAUCAUCACAAAAUGAGAUAAAUAUUUCAUGUGAAUGUAACAUGUAUCAAGGAGACGAUAUUUUUAAGUGAUAAAGUCGAUACAUACAUCAAGUACUUUAAAAAAUGAAUUAAUCGAUGUUACUUGGAAUAGUAAUAAUUUGUCCGCACAUUGACAAUUUAUUAUAUGUAAGAGUAGCCAAAUUUAGACCAAUGCUUUAAUUGAAAAAGAAAAAUACUUACAACGUUAUUAAUAGUACAUGACUAUGAACAACGUAUUGGAAAAGGAAAAUGUUCGUUACAAAUAUUAUUGUAAAUCAGAUUCAAUUCAAACGUCAGUCUAUAUUUGGCUACCCUCUCCUAUCAAAAUUUUGACUUUGAGAAGAGACUGAGAAUGCUUACCGGCAGCGGUGAACACCUUGCGGAUGUUUGUCAGUGAGAGAAUCUGUCGUGUGACUAGAACAUCAGCUACAUAGCAGAAUGCUACAGAACUGAAGUAGCUGCAGAUAAAGGGUAAACCAGACAAAACCCCGUUCUGGAAAAAGGGAAACAUGUGCGUAAGAAUAAUACAGAAACGUAUAUAAAAUUUGAAAAAUUUUAGUUUAUAAUAAUACACGUACUGCUUGGAUACUGAACCCUAGGACUGUUUUCAUGUACAUUGGUCCAGAAAUGAUGAAAACAUAGUGUACCCAUAUCCUACCGAAUGUAGUGAUUCCAAUUGACCAGGCUGCCCACGAUGUUAAGAUAUGCUUCCACGGAACUGGCAUACUCUGUAACAAAAUAUAAAAGUCAACAGCUAAAUUGUACACUGUUUACUUUUAUGAUUCAAGAUUAAAUAGGGAAGCCAUUGUGAUGAUUCAAAUUUUAGAUAAUGUUCAAUGAUCUGUUAAUGAUAUAUUAAUAAUUAUUUACUUAAAAUGUACUUAGUAUUAAAAGUUAUAAUAAUUUUAUAGAACGAAUCAAAAAUAUUGGGAAGCAAUAAAAUGGCGGAAUCUUCUAUGAAAUGUAUUGAUUUUGAAAUGAAAAUUUGCUUGUUUCUGAAGUCUCAACAUUCACAUUUUGUAAAUUUUUUUUUUUAUUGCAAGUUCGGAAAGCUAUCUAAAUAAAAGGAUGAAAGAUUUUUUUCUAUCAGUUUCAUACUUUUGGGAUACAUUUUUAAGGAUAUUUCAGUGCACAAAACAAUUACAAUCUGAACGGUACCUCCUGAGUCCUGUGGACUUGGUUUCCAACGCUUUCUUGAAUAUACCGUAGCUCCUGCUGCGAUAUUCUUGGAUGAUCGGCGGGACUGUCGAAAGCAAAGAAGUACCAGAAAAGGCACCAGAUGAUGCCAACGGUGCCAGUUGUAUAGAAAACCAAUCUCCAGCCAAAGUGAGCGAUGAUGAAUCCGCACAGUGGAUAGGUAAUCCCGAUGCCGAAGCUGAACCCUGAAUAUAGAUAAUCUAGACGUUAGGAGUGGCUCACCCCACGACCCGGAAGGAAGCUGAAACAUGAUGCUUGUCGAAUGGCUUCGCUUUGGCUCGUGUACGAUUCAUUCUUGUCGAUGAUCGCUCUUCAGCGGUGGCGCUAUAUUUCACCCUGUAAAGCGAUUCAAGUAGAGACUUAGUACGAGAGGAUGAUGAUGAAUGCACGGCGAGGUAGCUAUAGUACGACAAUGAAACUUCUAUACCUGAAAAUAUAUCAAGAGUGAGUAAACUCUUCAAUCACAGUUACCAAAAUAGCUACAUAGUGAAUUUUGAUCAAAUCAUAUAGAAUACAAUUUUUAACUAUUACUGUUUUUGCUAAAUUUUUAAUAUUUUUGCUCAUUGGAUCUGUUCUGUUAGCUUCUUUUGUGAAAGAAGAGACCUGAUGUGAGUAUUCAUUCUAAUAUAGUUAAUUCAAAAUAGUACAAUUUUAUGUAUUUUGAGUAUCUUCUUUCACAAAACAGACCACAGUUCAGAUCUGACUUAAUUACGUAAGCAUAUGUGAGUACUGGUCUUCUGCAUGAAUUUUAAAGUAUACUGCUUUCGCAUUCAGCCUUGAUUAUUAACAUGGUACAGCGUUUCAUGGUGAGUUGCGUGAACAUUCAUUCUUUUGUCGGCACGUCAGUUGGUGCAAUGAAACAGAGUAUUCGAACAUGAUCAAAGAAAUGCCCGGAGAGUUUUAUGAAUUCAAGUUGUCAAUCUUGUUUUUUAUUGAAGUUAGCAAAGGAAUGUUCCAGUUUACAUAUACCAAGGCUAGCCCGAUAUGUUUAUGACGCAUAGAAACGGAAAAAUGGAGACACAAUAGAGACAGUAUACUCGUAAUAUAUACAGUAGAAUUCCAUUUGUUCGAACAAAAUUUUUAGACAAUUCCUGUGAUUAACUAAUCUGCCAAGCGUUAUUCCUUAAGAAAAUUGAUUGAAGUUAUCAAAAGUUUCUAACAUAGAUUUAUUUGAUCUAUUUGUCAAGCUAUCGUUAUUUCCGCAAAUACAUUUCUAAAUUUGAUGACUUGUGACAUUAUUAUGUUUGUGUGAACAGAUAAAACUGAAUUAGACGAACUUCUAUUAUAUGAGCAGUUCAGCGAAACCUUCUCAAAAAGCCAUUGUUGGAAUGCAGCCUACUUUACAGUUAAUGACAAGUAAAUAACCAAAUUGUUUACAGAUUAGAUACAAAUCCGAAAAGUCAUAAAGACUCUAUGAUUUUGUCUCUUAUCUGAACCACUUAGGUUGAAAUAACUUUAUUCCAUUAUAAAAUAACCAUGACAGUUAUGUACUUUGAUUCACGAGACCCAGUCAUGAUAUUGAAGUUAUUAUCAAUUAUCAUAAAAAUGUAAUGUGGUGAUAAUUUCCACACAUCAAUAGGAUCGCAUAAAUGGAAUUCUACAAUAACAGUAAAAGUUGUCGUUGUUCGAUCGCGUAGUAUGUAUGUUCCAAGAAAGUUUGAGUGAGAAGGAUGAUUGGAUAAUGCACGUAAUUCUUUGGAAAAGAAAAUAGAGAAUAACGAGCACGGAUUUCUCGUAGAACGAUCGACACCGGGGCACAUACAAAAGAAUGAUGAAAAAUGACAAGUAUUACAAAACGUGUUCCUCGAGCCCGGCUGAUUCUACCAGCUGGAAGUAUACUCGGCCUUUCUCAUGCUGUUGAGCGGUUGCUGUUGAGUAUACCCCUCGGUCCGGCGAAUGCAACCACGUGGAGCUUGAAUGAAUCAGAAACAAAGUGAAAUGUCCGUCGAAAUGAGACCGUGUUAUCUCGUAUUUGAUCGACAAACAUGAUCUUGUGGUCUCGAACCGUGAAUUUUGACUGAAAAACAAAGCAUUUUCUCAUUCGAACUUCCGUUUCCCGUUUCUGAAAGAAGCGUGCCAUUAGUAUUCCACACAAAUAACCCAGUUUCGUUUAUCUUUCGUUUGUUUUUGUUUCUUUUUCUGUCUAUUGUUUUCAAGAGGAGACGCUAUAGUCUGGUACACGCUACUGAUUCAUUCCCGGUUCGGUCUCGGUUCGGUCUCGGUCCAAUUCGACAUUGAUUCACCGUUUUGUAUUAUCGUGUACGAUACUUGUACGGCAGUGCGAACGCGAUAGAAUUUUGCUGGACCGAGACCGAAACGAGGCUGGACUGGACACGAACCAAUAGUGUGGCUCGGGCCUAAAAAGAAAACGGACGUAUCGAAGUUUCACUGUAACAGGUAAGAGAAGAAAACAAUCGAUGUGUUACCAAGAGGCGAUUUACCUUGGAAGGAAGACAUGAAACGAGAACGUUCCACAGGCGGGAUCCAAUGUCCAACGACGGCAUACAUUGCGGGCCAUGUGAGUCCCUGAACAUACCAAUUACCAUUAUUUCAGACAAUGCAGUUAAUCGCGUUUUAAAUUAAUCAAUUUUAGAACGUCAAUCGUUUCGUCGAUCAGUACAGAAUUUAUUACAGAAUUUUAAGCACAAAGAAUAAACCACUACAGAUUAUCAGGUUGAAUCUUUCAAAUUCUCUGCUACCAAUUGAUGAACACAGUUUACAUUUCUUUCCAAGAGAUACUUACACUUGCGACGCCCUGUAUACUCCUGAGAGCAAUUAUGAAGCCAUAAUGGAUCCCCGCCGCAGUCGGCAAAAGCAAACUGCAGAUCGCCGUAAUUAGCUGGGACCCGCCGAAAACUGUUUUAGUGCCGAAGUACUGUGCGAGCACACCGCCAACCACUUGGGACAGUAUGUAACACCAGUAGAACGAGCCACUGAUGACGGAUUGUAUGGUCGGGCUCCAUUCGAAUUCCCCUUGUUCCUGUCCAACAAUUAAACAAUGAGAUAUUUGCACGAACUAGUUCACCAACGGACAGUUUAGCAUUUGCGAAUCUGAUUGGCUAAGAUAUUUAAUUUUGUCAUUCAGAGUGUUUCCUACAGCCAUUGACUAUUCGAAACUAUUAGAUACCGACAAAAAAGAACGAUUGGUUCAAUCUUGAGAAAAGUUAUCGCCUAUCAGCAACAUUCGCUGAAUGAUCAAGAAAAGUGGUCGAUCGCAACUAUUGGAAAUCAAAAUCGCUUCGUCGAACCCGUAACAAUCAUCCCACAAACGUACAACGGCUGUAGAGACAGUGACGAAAUAUUGCAGCUGAUGCUUUCUGUUAAAUAAACCAAGAUUUACCACUGCCAUUUAUCGAGUCGCGGAGGCGGCAAUUAUAGAGUUUCCGCCGUCGCUAAGAAUCUACGGUAUAAGAUCACGACGAUAAUUAUACACGUGGCGUUACGUGAACGGAUUUUUUAAUAUCUUGACUGUAGGCUUUGAAACAAGGGUACCAGCGUGUAACGUUAUCCUCACGAUCAAUAAUGAAGAGCAGAGUCUCCUUGACCAAUGUGGUUUCGAAGGAACUGAUCAAGGCGCUUCUUCUCAGUUUCUAUUUCUCACCAAUUUAACUAAAGAAUUAGAAGGCAAUAAACAAGUGUUUCAUACACAUAAGAUCGCAAUCAACAACAUUUUUCUAUAAAUUCUCAAUAAUUCUAAGUAUAUGAAAAUUAAGAAUCCACAAACGUGCAAUUUUGAGUAAUACACGUACAAAUAAAUACAGCUAUAAAUCGAUAUACACAAAUGAUUCAGCCUACGUAGAAAAUGCAUACCUUAUCCCAGGAGAGCGUAUCGUUGUUUGUAAAGGAUGCAUUUGGUGUUGUGUAGCAAUACUGAGAAUCGACUGUGACUAUGGUGUCGUUAGAUAUGGUCGAUGGUUGCUUGACCAUCGCCACCAUGGCGAUGUUUAUGUCGUUUCUCAUCAUGAAAGAGACAGUGAAUCCUGAGAAUGACAGCAUAUAUAGCACCACUCGCGCUGGGAUCAUGUCUGAAAAUGCGGAUAUAGUCUACAGAGUGUCCCAAAAUAGUCUCGCAAUCCGAGAA